rnacentral:rRNA from 1 species
CGGCAGCGCGGGAGCAAUCCUGGCGGCGAGUGGCGAACGGGUGAGUAAUAUAUCGGAACGUGCCCUAGAGUGGGGGAUAACUAGUCGAAAGAUUAGCUAAUACCGCAUACGAUCUACGGAUGAAAGUGGGGGAUCGCAAGACCUCAUGCUCCUGGAGCGGCCGAUAUCUGAUUAGCUAGUUGGUGGGGUAAAAGCCUACCAAGGCGACGAUCAGUAGCUGGUCUGAGAGGACGACCAGCCACACUGGGACUGAGACACGGCCCAGACUCCUACGGGAGGCAGCAGUGGGGAAUUUUGGACAAUGGGGGCAACCCUGAUCCAGCAAUGCCGCGUGAGUGAAGAAGGCCUUCGGGUUGUAAAGCUCUUUUGUCAGGAAAGAAAUCGCUCCGGCUAAUACCUGGAGCGGAUGACGGUACCUGAAGAAUAAGCACCGGCUAACUACGUGCCAGC